GGGGCCUUGCGGCGUGCUUACACAUGCAGUCGAACGAUGAAGCCCAGCUUGCUGGGUGGAUUAGUGGCGAACGGGUGAGUAACACGUGAGCAACCUGCCCCUGACUCUGGGAUAAGCGCUGGAAACGGCGUCUAAUACUGGAUAUGUCCCGUCACCGCAUGGUGUGCGGGUGGAAAGAUUUUUCGGUUGGGGAUGGGCUCGCGGCCUAUCAGCUUGUUGGUGAGGUAAUGGCUCACCAAGGCGUCGACGGGUAGCCGGCCUGAGAGGGUGACCGGCCACACUGGGACUGAGACACGGCCCAGACUCCUACGGGAGGCAGCAGUGGGGAAUAUUGCACAAUGGGCGGAAGCCUGAUGCAGCAACGCCGCGUGAGGGAUGACGGCCUUCGGGUUGUAAACCUCUUUUAGCAGGGAAGAAGCGAAAGUGACGGUACCUGCAGAAAAAGCACCGGCUAACUACGUGCCAGCAGCCGCGGUAAUACGUAGGGUGCAAGCGUUAUCCGGAAUUAUUGGGCGUAAAGAGCUCGUAGGCGGUCUGUCGCGUCUGCUGUGAAAUUCCGAGGCUCAACCUCGGGCUUGCAGUGGGUACGGGCAGACUAGAGUGCGGUAGGGGAGAUUGGAAUUCCUGGUGUAGCGGUGGAAUGCGCAGAUAUCAGGAGGAACACCGAUGGCGAAGGCAGAUCUCUGGGCCGUAACUGACGCUGAGGAGCGAAAGGGUGGGGAGCAAACAGGCUUAGAUACCCUGGUAGUCCACCCCGUAAACGUUGGGAACUAGUUGUGGGGUCCUUUCCACGGAUUCCGUGACGCAGCUAACGCAUUAAGUUCCCCGCCUGGGGAGUACGGCCGCAAGGCUAAAACUCAAAGGAAUUGACGGGGACCCGCACAAGCGGCGGAGCAUGCGGAUUAAUUCGAUGCAACGCGAAGAACCUUACCAAGGCUUGACAUACACGAGAACGGGCCAGAAAUGGUCAACUCUUUGGGACACUCGUGAACAGGUGGUGCAUGGGUUGUCGUCAGCUUCGGU
rnacentral:rRNA from 1 species